rnacentral:rRNA from 1 species
ACUCCUACGGGAGGCAGCAGUGGGGAAUCUUGGACAAUGGGGGAAACCCUGAUCCAGCCAUGCCGCGUGAGCGAUGAAGGCCUUAGGGUUGUAAAGCUCUUUCACCGGUGAAGAUAAUGACGGUAGCCGGAGAAGAAGCCCCGGCUAACUCCGUGCCAGCAGCCGCGGUAAUACGGAGGGGGCUAGCGUUGUUCGGAAUUACUGGGCGUAAAGCGCGCGUAGGCGGACUAUUAAGUCAGAUGUGAAAGCCCGGGGCUUAACCUCGGAAUUGCAUUUGAAACUGGCAGGCUAGAGUCUUGUAGAGGGGGGUAGAAUUUCAGGUGUAGCGGUGAAAUGCGUAGAGAUCUGAAGGAAUACCAGUGGCGAAGGCGGCCCCCUGGACAAAGACUGACGCUCAGAUGCGAAAGCGUGGGGAGCAAACAGGAUUAGAUACCCUGGUAGGAUAGCG